rnacentral:rRNA from 1 species
UACGUAGGGGGCAAGCGUUGUCCGGAAUCAUUGGGCGUAAAGCGCGUGUAGGCGGUUCAGUAAGUCUGCUGUGAAAGCCCCCGGCUCAACCGGGGAGAGUCGUCGGGGACUGCACCGCUUGAGGGCGGUAGGGGCUGGUGGAAUGCCUGGUGUAGUGGUGAAAUGCGUAGAGAUCAGGCAGAACACCUGGGGCGAAGGCGGCCAGCUGGGCCGUCCCUGACGCUGAGGCGCGAAGGCGUGGGGAGCGAACGGGAUUAG